AUUUUUCUAGUACAAAUUAGUACAGAUGACUUCCAAUCAUCUAAUCUUGGUUAAAAUCCAAGGAAAAAUA
rnacentral:tRNA from 1 species